AUUGAACGCUGGCGGCAUGCCUUACACAUGCAAGUCGAACGGCAGCAUGGAAGAGCUUGCUCUUCUGAUGGCGAGUGGCGAACGGGUGAGUAAAGCAUCGGAACGUACCGUGUAGUGGGGGAUAACGUAGCGAAAGUUACGCUAAUACCGCAUACGCACUGAGGUGGAAAGCAGGGGAUCGCAAGACCUUGCGCUAUACGAGCGGCCGAUGGCAGAUUAGCUAGUUGGUAGGGUAAAGGCCUACCAAGGCGACGAUCUGUAGCGGGUCUGAGAGGAUGAUCCGCCACACUGGGACUGAGAAACGGCCCAGACUCCUACGGGAGGCAGCAGUGGGGAAUUUUGGACAAUGGGGGAAACCCUGAUCCAGCCAUGCCGCGUGAGUGAAGAAGGCCUUCGGGUUGUAAAGCUCUUUCGGCUGGGAAGAAAUCGCACAGGCUAAUACUCUGUGUGGAUGACGGUACCAGCACAAGAAGCACCGGCCAACUACGUGCCAGCCGCCGCCGUAA
rnacentral:rRNA from 1 species